rnacentral:lncRNA from 1 species
UGAUUGGAUUCGGCAAAUAAAGUAGAGGGCCCGCCCGUGUCACCACCAGUCCACCGAACCAGCUGUAGAUCGCUAACUCUCUUGUCGACGCCCGGAACUUAUGUACGAGUUAAGAAUGAAUUGUUCCCGAGUAGAGAGGGCAGGAUAAGGAUUCAGUAAGAAGGAGAGUCUACUUAUGGAAAUGCCAUCCUCUCUUUCCUCAGUAACGGAGUGACUAGCUACCCCA